AUUGAACGCUGGCGGCAGGCCUAACACAUGCAAGUCGAGCGGAUGAGUGGAGCUUGCUCCAUGAUUCAGCGGCGGACGGGUGAGUAAUGCCUAGGAAUCUGCCUGGUAGUGGGGGAUAACGUUCCGAAAGGAACGCUAAUACCGCAUACGUCCUACGGGAGAAAGCAGGGGACCUUCGGGCCUUGCGCUAUCAGAUGAGCCUAGGUCGGAUUAGCUAGUUGGUGAGGUAACGGCUCACCAAGGCGACGAUCCGUAGCUGGUCUGAGAGGAUGAUCAGCCACACUGGAACUGAGACACGGUCCAGACUCCUACGGGAGGCAGCAGUGGGGAAUAUUGGACAAUGGGCGAAAGCCUGAUCCAGCCAUGCCGCGUGUGUGAAGAAGGUCUUCGGAUUGUAAAGCACUUUAAGUUGGGAGGAAGGUCUGUAAGCUAAUAUCUUGCAGUCUUGACGUUACCAACAGAAUAAGCACCGGCUAACUCUGUGCCAGCAGCCGCCGUAACAC
rnacentral:rRNA from 1 species